rnacentral:misc_RNA from 1 species
UGGUAGUCCCCCCCCUAAACGAUGUCAACUAGUUGUUGGGGAUUCGUUUCCUUGUAACGUAGCUAACGCGUGAAGUUGACCGCCUGGGGAGUACGGUCGCAAGAUUAAAACUCAAAGGAAUUGACGGGGACCCGCACAAGCGGUGGAUGAUGUGGAUUAAUUCGAUGCAACGCGAAAAACCUUACCUACCCUUGACAUGGUUGGAACCUUGCUGAAAGGUGGGGAUGCUCGAAAGAGAACCGAUACACAGGUGCUGCAUGGCUGUCGUCAGCUCGUGUCGUGAGAUGUUGGGUUAAGUCCCGCAACGAGCGCAACCCUUGUCCUUAGUUGCUACGCAAGAGCACUCGAAGGAGACUGCCGGUGACAAACCGGAGGAAGGUGGGGAUGACGUCAAGUCCUCAUGGCCCUUAUGGGUAGGGCUUCACACGUCAUACAAUGGUCGGAACAGAGGGCUGCCAACCCGUGAGGGGGAGCUAAUCCCAGAAAACCGAUCGUAGUCCGGAUCGUAGUCUGCAACUCGACUACGUGAAGCUGGAAUCGCUAGUAAUCGCGGAUCAGCAUGCCGCGGUGAAUACGUUCCCGGGUCUUGUACACACCGCCCGUCACACCAUGGGAGUGGGUUUUACCAGAAGUGGCUAGUCUAACCGCAAGGAGGACAGUCACCACGGUAGGAUUCAUGACUGGGGUGAAGUCGUAACAAGGUAGCCGUAUCGGAAGGUGCGGCUGGAUCACCUCCUUUCUCGAGCUCAACGUUUUAAAGUGAAGUGCUAAAGCGCUCACGCUUAUCGGCUGUAAGAAGACAGGCUAAGGGUCUGUAGCUCAGUUGGUUAGAGCACCGUCUUGAUAAGGCGGGGGUCGUUGGUUCGAAUCCAACCAGACCCACCAUGAUUCGCACGGCAGGGGAUUAAUGAAUGUUAAUCGCCCAAGCGAUGAAAUCUACGGACCCUUCAGCAUCGAGGUACUGGGGGGGAUUAGCUCAGCUGGGAGAGCACCUGCUUUGCAAGCAGGGGGUCGUCGGUUCGAUCCCGUCAUCCUCCACCAAUCAUUAAUGCACAGCACUCUUAAACGAAGAGUUUAAGUAAAGAGUGAUGCGCAUUGGCGAUUGAGCCAGUCAGUAAGUCGUUUAAGGCAAGGCGUUUUAAGUGAUGCUGUCGUUCUUUAACAAUCUGGAAGAAGUAGUAAAGGUCAUUUGAAAGCGCUUAAAGAUGGGCGUGAUUAGGAUGAUCAGGGUUGUGAUUGUAUCAAUGUAUGAAAAGGUGAUCGAAAGAUUGCUUUGGAAUACGGCGCAACACGAAUACUCAACCUAUGGCGGGGUGAAAGAGUUUCCACAGAUGGCUGAGCUUCGGUUCGGUGUAGGUGGGAUGCUCAGAGACGCACUCGUUAUAGGGUCAAGCGAACAAGUGCAUGUGGUGGAUGCCUUGGCGAUCACAGGCGAUGAAGGACGCAGUAGCCUGCGAAAAGCGACGGGGAGCUGGCAAACGAGCUUCGAUCCGUCGAUGUCCGAAUGGGGAAACCCGGCCCUUCUGUGGGUCAUCCUGAGCUGAAUACAUAGGCUCAGUGAAGCGAACGUGGUGAACUGAAACAUCUAAGUAACCGCAGGAAAAGAAAUCAACCGAGAUUCCCAAAGUAGUGGCGAGCGAAAUGGGAUCAGCCUGUACUCUUUAUCACGACCGUUAGCCGAACACUCUGGAAAGAGUGGCCAUAGCAGGUGAUAGCCCUGUAGGUGAAAGCGGAUGUGUGGAACUAGGUGUACGACAAGUAGGGCGGGACACGUGAAAUCCUGUCUGAAGAUGGGGGGACCAUCCUCCAAGGCUAAAUACUCGUGAUCGACCGAUAGUGAACCAGUACCGUGAGGGAAAGGCGAAAAGAACCCCGGGAGGGGAGUGAAAUAGAUCCUGAAACCGCAUGCAUACAAACAGUCGGAGCCUCGCAAGGGGUGACGGCGUACCUUUUGUAUAAUGGGUCAGCGACUUACGUUCAGUAGCAAGCUUAACUGAUUAAGGCAGGCGUAGCGAAAGCGAGUCCGAAUAGGGCGUUCAGUUGCUGGGCGUAGACCCGAAACCAAGUGAUCUAUCCAUGGCCAGGUUGAAGGUGCGGUAACACGUACUGGAGGACCGAACCCACUAAUGUUGAAAAAUUAGGGGAU